rnacentral:lncRNA from 1 species
AUGAACCUGGGGACACCUGUCCCUCACCUGUCCCCUCCUGUCCCCGCAGCCUCUCGGGGGAGCUCCAGGCCUGGGAUCGGCUCCUGCAGCAGCACCUGCAGCGCUCCCAGGAGGCCUCACGGUGAGAAUUCCAACAUUUCUCCCCAAAAUCCCCACAUUUCUCCCCAAAAUCCCCACAUUUCUCCCCAAAAUCCCCACAUUUCUCCCCAAAAUCCCCACAUUUCUCCCCAAAAUCCCCACAUUUCUCCCCAAAAUCCCCACAUUUCCCACCUCAAAUACCAAAAUUCCAACAUUUCUCCCCAAAAUCCCCACAUUUCCCACCUCAAAAACAUUCCCACAUUUAUCCCCAAAAUUCCCACACCUAUCCCCAAAAUCCCCACAUUUAUCCCAAAAUUCCCCUUUUUCUUAAUAAAAUUCCCAUUUUUAUCCCCAUUUUUCCCCAAUCCCCAUUUUGCCCAUUUCCCCCCAAAUCCCAAUAAUUUCCCAAAUUCCCCCUUUUCACCCCAAACUCCCCAUUUCCCCCAAAUCCCUGUUUUUCUUCCCAUUUCCCCCAAAUCCCCAUUUUCCCCAUUUUUCCCUAAAUCCCCAUUUUCCACCCCAUUUCCCAAAAUCCCUAUUUUCCACCCCAUUUUUCCCAAAAUCCCCACUUUUAUCCCCAUUUUUCCCAAAAUCCCCAUUUCCCCCAUUUUCCCCAAAAAUCCCCAUUUUCCCCAUUUCCCCCCAAAUCCCAGUAAUUUCCCAAAUUCCCCCUUUUCACCCCAAACUCCCCAUUUUUCCCCAAAUCCCCGUUUUUCUCCCCAUUUUUCCCCAAAUCCCCAUUUUCCCCCCCAUUUUCAUCCCCAUUUUCCACCCCAUUUUUCCCAAAUUCCCGUUUCUCUCCCCAUUUUUCCCCAAAUCCCCGUUUUCCACCCCAUUUUCAUCCCCAUUUUCCACCCCAUUUUUCCCAAAUUCCCGUUUCUCUCCCCAUUUUUCCCCAAAUCCCCGUUUUCCACCCCAUUUUCAUCCCCAUUUUCCACCCCAUUUUUCCCAAAUUCCCGUUUCUCUCCCCAUUUUUCCCCAAAUCCCCGUUUU